UGGGGGAUAUUGGACAAUGGGGGAAACCCUGAUCCAGCAAUGCCGCGUGAGUGAAGAAGGCCUUAGGGUUGUAAAGCUCUUUCGCCCGCGAAGAUAAUGACGGUAGCGGGAGAAGAAGCCCUGGCUAACUCCGUGCCAGCAGCCGCGGUAAUACGAAGGGAGUUAGCGUUGUUCGGAAUCACUGGGCGUAAAGCGCACGUAGGCGGACUUUCAAGUCAGGGGUGAAAUCCCGGGGCUCAACCUCGGAACUGCCUUUGAUACUGUUGGUCUCGAGUCCGGAAGAGGUGAGUGCAAUUCCUAGUGUAGAGGUGAAAUUCGUAGAUAUUAGGAAGAACACCGGUGGCGAAGGCGGCUCACUGGUCCGGUACUGACGCUGAGGUGCGAAAGCGUGGGGAGCAAACA
rnacentral:rRNA from 1 species